rnacentral:misc_RNA from 1 species
ACUUUAUUUUUAAUUUUUAAAUUGAGCUCACUAUACAAUAGUUCCUCUUCCUUCUUCUUCUUCUGUUUUCAGUAAUGGCUAUGGAGAGUGCAUUAGCAUCCACACGAGUUUCAAUUCCAUCGUUGUGUUCAGGGAUCACUUCAUCUCAUCAUCACCAUAGAUCCUUGUCAUUUCUCAGUUUCCCCAAAUUGUGUUCCUUCAAAUAUUGUUUUCGAACAAUUUCAACUGUUCCUUUCGUUGUCAGUGCAUCCUCUGUUUCUCCAUCAUCUCCUUCUACAUCCGUUGCCCAAUCUCAG